UACAGAGGGGGCAAGCGUUGUUCGGAAUUACUGGGCGUAAAGGGCGCGUAGGCGGCCAACUAAGUCGGACGUGAAAUCCCCAGGCUCAACCUGGGAACUGCGUCCGAUACUGGAUGGCUUGAAUUCGGGAGAGGGAUGCAGAAUUCCAGGUGUAGCGGUGAAAUGCGUAGAUAUCUGGAGGAAUACCGGUGGCGAAGGCGGUUCUCUGGGCAUUACCUGACGCUGAGGAGCGAAAGUGUGGGGAGCGAACAGG
rnacentral:rRNA from 1 species